rnacentral:lncRNA from 1 species
AUGGAGAUGGUGGAGGAGGAGAUUGGUAGUAAUAUGAAGGUGGUUGGUAGUAGUAGUAGGGUUGCCCUGCAUUGUAAGGGUGAUAAUCAGCAACAACAAUGGUAGCAAUUAGGCAAAAUGCAACUGCAUAUAUCAGUCUAGGCCAUUGUGAGGUUCCCAUCUUGCUUGGUGAACAAGUAUGGAUUCUAACCCUUUAUAUAGUGUUACCCUUCUUCACUGUGGUUACAACAUUUCUUUCUUAAACUCAUUUAUAAAUUGGAUUCAUGUUUUCAAUGCAUUUUUUAGAUGCAUGUAUACAACUUAACACAAAGUUACUGAGAUAAAAUUAAAGAUAUACAAUAUUUUGAUAUACAGAUAAUAAGAUAUUUUUAUACUUUCAAUAUAUCAUAUAUAUGGAUAAUUAUUCACUCUUAAAUAUAUUUAAAGAUGGUAUAUGUUUUGGAGGUUGAUGCACCUUUGUUUUUAUAUGUUAUUUUAUAUUUCAGGUUGAUGUUUUUGUUUUGCAAUAAGUGUGAGUUCACAUUUUCCACAAUAAGACAUAGUCAUA